AUUACUCCUACGGGAGGCAGCAGUGGGGAAUAUUGGACAGUGGGCGAAAGCCUGAUCCAGCCAUGCCGCGUGUGUGAAGAAGGUCUUCGGAUUGUAAAGCACUUUAAGUUGGGAGGAAGAGCAGUAAGCGAAUACCUUGCUGUUUUGACGUUAC
rnacentral:rRNA from 1 species